rnacentral:rRNA from 1 species
GACGAACGCUGGCGGCGUGCCUAAUACAUGCAAGUAGAACGCUGAAGCUUGGUGCUUGCACCGAGCGGAUGAGUUGCGAACGGGUGAGUAACGCGUAGGUAACCUGCCUGGUAGCGGGGGAUAACUAUUGGAAACGAUAGCUAAUACCGCAUAAGAGUAGAUGUUGCAUGACCUUUGCUUAAAAGGUGCAAUUGCAUCACUACCAGAUGGACCUGCGUUGUAUUAGCUAGUUGGUGAGGUAACGGCUCACCAAGGCAACGAUACAUAGCCGACCUGAGAGGGUGAUCGGCCACACUGGGACUGAGACACGGCCCAGACUCCUACGGGAGGCAGCAGUAGGGAAUCUUCGGCAAUGGACGGAAGUCUGACCGAGCAACGCCGCGUGAGUGAAGAAGGUUUUCGGAUCGUAAAGCUCUGUUGUAAGAGAAGAACGAGUGUGAGAGUGGAAAGUUCACACUGUGACGGUAUCUUACCAGAAAGGGACGGCUAACUACGUG